rnacentral:tRNA from 1 species
GGAUAUAUGCCCGAAAAUUAAGGAUUACUUUGAUAGAGUAAAAAAUAGAGGCUAAAAUCCUCUUAUAUCCU